GAGUUUGAUCCUGGCUCAGAUUGAACGCUGGCGGCAUGCCUUACACAUGCAAGUCGAACGGCAGCACGGGAGCUUGCUCCUGGUGGCGAGUGGCGAACGGGUGAGUAAUGCAUCGGAACGUAUCCUGGAGUGGGGGAUAACGUAGCGAAAGUUACGCUAAUACCGCAUAUUCUGUGAGCAGGAAAGCGGGGGACCUUCGGGCCUCGCGCUCUUGGAGCGGCCGAUGUCGGAUUAGCUAGUUGGUGAGGUAAAGGCUCACCAAGGCGACGAUCCGUAGGCAGGUCUGAGAGGAGU
rnacentral:rRNA from 1 species